rnacentral:rRNA from 1 species
AUUGAACGCUGGCGGCAUGCCUUACACAUGCAAGUCGAACGGUAACGGGCCUUCGGGUGCCGACGAGUGGCGAACGGGUGAGUAAUGCAUCGGAACGUACCUUUCAGUGGGGGAUAACGUAGCGAAAGUUACGCUAAUACCGCAUAUUCUGUGAGCAGGAAAGCAGGGGAUCGCAAGACCUUGCGCUGAUUGAGCGGCCGAUGCCAGAUUAGCUAGUUGGUGAGGUAAAGGCUCACCAAGGCGACGAUCUGUAGCGGGUCUGAGAGGAUGAUCCGCCACACUGGAACUGAGACACGGUCCAGACUCCUACGGGAGGCAGCAGUGGGGAAUUUUGGACAAUGGGGGCAACCCUGAUCCAGCCAUGCCGCGUGAGUGAAGAAGGCCUUCGGUUG